rnacentral:rRNA from 1 species
UACGGGAGGCAGCAGUCGAGAAUCAUUCGCAAUGGGMGAAAGCCKGACGGUGSGACGCCGCGUGGAGGAUGAAGGCCCUMGGGUUGUAAACUCCUGUCAUCAGAGAGUAAUGCUUCMCGGAGUAACUGCCGUGGAGASUAAUUC